rnacentral:rRNA from 1 species
UACGUAGGGUGCAAGCGUUGUCCGGAAUUAUUGGGCGUAAAGAGCUCGUAGGCGGUUUGUCGCGUCUGCUGUGAAAACUCGGGGCUUAACCCCGGGCCUGCAGUGGGUACGGGCAGACUAGAGUGCGGUAGGGGAGACUGGAAUUCCUGGUGUAGCAGUGAAAUGCGUAGAUAUCGGGAGGAACACCAGUGGCGAAGGCGACUUCCUGGCCUGUUCUUGACGCUGAGGCGCGAAAAGCUAGGGGUAGCAAACGGG